rnacentral:rRNA from 1 species
UUGAAAGGGAAACGAUUGAAGUCAGUCGUACUGGCGGGAAAUCAACUUCUCGAGUGCUUGUCGUGGAUUACGUUGAGCUUCACGGCCUUCGUUGUUUGCGUUAUGGUGCUUUUGAGGUGUACUUUUCCGUAUGGUAGGUCAACAUCGAUUUUGGUCGUCAUAAAAUGAUCGGAGGAAUGUGGCUCUGAUUUCGGUCGGAGUGUUAUAGCCUUUGGUAGAUGUGGCGAUUGGGAUCGAGGAUUGCAACGAAUACCCUUUGGGCUAUCCGUCUGACCUCUGAAAGUCGCUCGGGUGUUGAGAGCGUGCUUAUGACAUUCUAGUUGGCGGUCAAAAGGUUAGAACGUGAUUACAUUCGUUAAGGAUGU